CUUAUCUUAAUAGUGAGAGUGUCGUUCUGAAGAAAUGCUGGUCCAAGUCGAGUGUAAAGGGAACCCGAAAUGGAUCCGAAUACCAGAGAAAACGACUGUUUUGACUUCUGUGGAUUCAUUAAAGAAGCUUCAGCAAAGUUCAACUUGCCGCAUGGAGCCAAUGUGGUUCUUAAAGACUCUGCAGGAGUUGAUGUUGAUGCUGAUAUUUUUGAUGAGCUUGUGAGAACAUCUAAGGUGUCCUUCAAAAUUUUGGAUGGUGAUAACAAUAAAUCGGAUAAUGUUCCACAAGCUGAGACCAAUCUCUCUGAGCCCUCAUGCCCUGAGUCAUCGUUUUCAUC
rnacentral:lncRNA from 1 species